CUUGCCUUGCGACGCACAAAGAAAGUGACAGUUUGCCGAUAACCUCGUCUCGUCGCGGUUAUGGCUUUGCUUUUCUAUGCAGACUUGAGCGUCGCGGUUUUAUGUGGCUGGAACAAUCGGGUUAAAAUUGCGUAGUUAAAUCGACCAAAAGGCAGUUGCGAACGUGGACCAAACCUCUUUAAUUCGACUCCGGCAAAAUAUGCUCAUCACUGAUUUUCCGCGGCGGCAGGUAGGCCACGGGCUAUGUUCCGGUGGCCAUGUCGAUGCGCAUGUCCCAGGAUGGCCAGCACCGCCACAGGUCGGCUUGGUUGCGGUUGGAGAUAGCUGCUUCAAGUUUCGCCAUCAACCAACUCAUCUUGUACUGCCGCGGCCAGAGAAAUGGAACCAAAUUGAUAGGUGUUAAAGUGUAAUUCUCGAGUUUUUUUUGAUUAGGUCCUAUAAACAUAUGAAAGACAAUGGUUUAUUGGUCCUUUUCAAAAAACUCUGGAAUUGUUUUUCGUGUAAAAUUGUGAAUAAAUUAUGGUUUUU